rnacentral:lncRNA from 1 species
AAAACGACUCUGAACCUCUCCCCUUUUCUCCAGGCACCGGCCUCUGGUUUGGUCAUCGGUCGGUCGUCGACCACUGCACCGGUCACUAAUUUCUGGGGCCGGCACCAUCGUAUGCGGUGGUCGAAAAAGGGAGAAUCUCAGAUCCUGUCCCUCCGAAACCUCUAAAAGCAAACUCAGGCUCAAAACCCUCAAAGUAUUCUUAGAAACACCUCAAAAUCCCGAGAAACCUUUCGAUCUCCAACCGUCUUUCCUCAAAGACGGUUCCUCAGCCGUUCACGGUGAUCAGGGCUUAAAAACCAGGUUAUUUCUUCCCUCCUAUAUUAUUUAUAUGUAUAUAAACAAUAAAAAUAAACACAUAUAACAGAAAAAAAUAAAAUAGGGAUACAAGUAUCAACCUUUAAUCGAUUAUUCUCUCUGUAUUGCGAAAAUAAAAGUCUCUGUUUUUAUUUGAUUUCUGAAUUUCCCCGGUCUUGGUACAGUGUUCGUAAUGGCUUUUUAUAGCCGAAAUAAGAAUAAAAAGAAAUCUAAAGAAAAUCUGUUUGAUCUGCAAAUUUUUUAUUCUCUUUCCUUUUGUUGUUUAUUUCCUUGCAGGUGAAGAUCGCAGAGAUUCGGAGGACUUGUCUUGCGGCGCUGUUGAAUAUUAGAAACCCUAGGGUUUCUUCAUCUAUUUUGGGCCGCGUUUGUAACUGGGCCACCAUUUGAAAUCGGGCCAUGUAUUUUGUCUUGUAAUUGGGCUUGUAAAAACUAGACUUUAUUUGUUUAUUGUGGGCCGGGUAAAAAAUUGGGUAUUCCACAACCAGUUAAGCAAUUCUUCACUACUUCAUUUAUGGCUGGAUUUAAACGGUGCUUUGCAUCCACCACUGGUUUCUUUCCUUCCUCUAGUCUA